rnacentral:misc_RNA from 1 species
AACGGUCUAUACCUGCGGUACCUGCGGAGGGAUCAUUAGUGAACGCCCUCACGGGCUUAUAACUAUUCCAAGCCUCUGUGAACCGUGCCCUUCGGGGCUAUUUUACAAACAUGGUGUAAUGAACGUCAUAUAUCAUAACAAAACAAAACUUUUAGCAAUGGAUCUCU